UAGGGAAUAUUGGUCAAUGGGGGCAACCCUGAACCAGCCAUGCCGCGUGCAGGAUGACGGCCCUACGGGUUGUAAACUGCUUUUGUACGGGAAGAAACCUUAUCACGUGUGAUGAGUUGACGGUACCGUAAGAAUAAGGAUCGGCUAACUUCGUGCCAGCAGCCGCGGUAAUACGAAGGAUCCUAGCGUUGUCCGGAUUUACUGGGUUUAAAGGGUGCGUAGGCGGAUAAUUAAGUCAGUGGUGAAAGCCGACAGCUCAACUGUCGAAUUGCCAUUGAAACUGAUUAUCUCGAGUAUGGUUGAGGUGGUUGGAAUGUUGCAUGUAGCGGUGAAAUGCUUAGAUAUGCAACAGAACACCUAUUGCGAAGGCAGAUCACUAAGCCAUUACUGACGCUGAGGCACGAAAGCGUGGGGAUCAAACAG
rnacentral:rRNA from 1 species